UUGGCACCCGGGUUUUGUCUUGAGCUUUCUUUUUUCUUCCCUAUACGGAUACGAUAUCCGGACGGACGCGAAAUCGGGCAGCAAGUGGGGCCCACGAGAUUUCCUUUAUUAUUUUAUUAGAGUGGAGACAAAAUUCCAUAAAAACCGGAGGUGGCGGGCCCCGGCGGGGUGGGGAACCGUGGCCAUGUGUUCACCGUGGGUUGGCGCAAUGCACGUGGGAUACCCCGUCGCCCUUCACCUCUCUGACAUUAUGACCUGACAACUGUCGUCCGAUCACCGUCCGUCCGUGAGGUUACCUUCCGCGUCCGUCAUCCAGGGUAUGGGAGAUAUUUUUAUUUUAUUUUCUUUUCUCCCCUUGGUCCUCCCUCGGAAACAAACGACGUUGGUACUUUUCAUUUUGGCCAUUAUCUUGAUCUGUAUUGAGUCUAACACUAUCUGGAUUAAUGUAAAUUAAUUAUUCAAAAUAUUGGUCGAUAUGAUAUAAAUAUUGGUUGAUAUUUUUCAUAAAUAUUUUUAAAUAAUCCAUAAAUUUGGAGUUGUAGUAUCUCAAUAUCUAAAGAUUACGGAAAAAAUUGUUGAUUUUUUCCAAAUUUGCUUUUAU
rnacentral:lncRNA from 1 species